AGGGCAAUAGCUAGGUCAAAUGGUGGUUCCAUUCCCAGCUUUCCCAGGAAUCUCCAUACUGCUUUCCAAAUUGGCCGCACCAGUUUGCAGUCCCACCAGCAAU
rnacentral:pre_miRNA from 1 species